CCCUUAGAUGUCCUGGGCUGCACGCGCGCUACACUGAUGUGUCCAGUAAGCACCUAACCUAUUCCGAGAGGAGCGGGUAACCUUAGCAAAGCACAUCGUGAUGGGGAUAGAUUAUUGCAAUUAUUAGUCUUGAACGAGGAAUUCCUAGUAAGCACAAGUCAUCAGCUUGUGUUGAUUACGUCCCUGCCCUUUGUACGCACCGCCCGUCGCUCCUACCGAUUGAAUGUUCCGGUGAGCUCUUCGGACUGCGCGGUCUGCAGUUUCUGCGUUCCGUGCGGAAAGUUGUGCAAACCUUAACAUUUAGAGGAAGGAGAAGUCGUAACA
rnacentral:rRNA from 1 species